AAUGAAGAAGAAGAAGAGGGACACCCAGGUAAGUACCCCUAUGAGUGUUAUUAGUGUUCCACUGCCACUAUAGAAUAUACCAUUUGAACCAUAACAUCUCAGUGACCCAAUAAUUUGCCUGUGACUUGGUGGUAAGGCCUAGUACUCUACAAACAUUCGAAAUUGCUUGCAUAAAUAGUGCAUAUAUCUGGCUUUUGUGUGGGUGGGUUCUUGACCUUGUGAAAGAAUGCCUCUCCUCAUUCCUGCCCCCCUUAAGUGUGGUUUUACCUAGAAGCUUCAAAUUUCAAAAUCUAACUGAGAUGUACCCAUAUAUGCCUUAUUGCUCUUCAGCGAGUCUUGAGCUUUUAUUGUUUAUCUAUAGCUAUUGAAAAGUGCAUUGGGCAUAGGAAUAAAAGUCAAAUCCGCUUAGUAUCAAUGUUUUCCUCUUCUAUUUGUUUUUUUCUAUGUUUGUUUUAUAACCACUCGUCACACCAAUACUGGUAGAUGCAGAUUAUUGCUUUAUGGAAGACCGGAACUGCAUAUUUUUAUUGCUUUAUGGAAGACCGGAACUGCAUAUUUUUAUUGUACCAUUAAACUUCUGAUAUCUUUCACAAGUGUUAUGGGAUGCUCUAUCCUUUGAUUAUCUAUUGAAGAUAGUCCCUAGCUUUCCUCUGUCAAGUCAGUUUAAAUUAUUUUCCCUGCUUUUCCCUUGUCACAAUUGGUAUUUUGCAAGUCUUGCUUUCUUUCUGC
rnacentral:lncRNA from 1 species